AUUGAACGCUGGCGGCAUGCCUUACACAUGCAAGUCGAACGGUAACAGGUCUUCGGAUGCUGACGAGUGGCGAACGGGUGAGUAAUACAUCGGAACGUGCCUAGUAGUGGGGAUAACUACUCGAAAGAGUGGCUAAUACCGCAUGAGAUCUACGGAUGAAAGCAGGGGAUCGCAAGACCUUGUGCUAAUAGAGCGGCCGAUGGCAGAUUAGGUAGUUGGUGGGAUAAAGGCUUACCAAGCCGACGAUCUGUAGCUGGUCUGAGAGGACGAUCAGCCACACUGGGACUGAGACACGGCCCAGACUCCUACGGGAGGCAGCAGUGGGGAAUUUUGGACAAUGGGCGAAAGCCUGAUCCAGCAAUGCCGCGUGCAGGAUGAAGGCCUUCGGGUUGUAAACUGCUUUUGUACGGAACGAAAAGCCCCGGGUUAAUACCCUGGGGUCAUGACGGUACCGUAAGAAUAAGCACCGGCUAACUACGUGCCAGCAGCCGCGGUAA
rnacentral:rRNA from 1 species